GACGAACGCUGGCGGCGUGCUUAACACAUGCAAGUCGAACGGAAAGGCCCUGCUUUUGUGGGGUGCUCGAGUGGCGAACGGGUGAGUAACACGUGAGUAACCUGCCCUUGACUUUGGGAUAACUUCAGGAAACUGGGGCUAAUACCGGAUAGGAGCUCCUGCUGCAUGGUGGGGGUUGGAAAGUUUCGGCGGGUGGGGAUGGACUCGCGGCUUAUCAGCUUGUUGGUGGGGUAGUGGCUUACCCAGGCUUUGACGGGUAGCCGGCCUGAGAGGGUGACCGGCCACAUUGGGACUGAGAUACGGCCCAGACGCCUACGGGAGGCAGCAGUGGGGAAUAUUGCACAAUGGGCGGAAGCCUGAUGCAGCAACGCCGCGUGCGGGAUGACGGCCUUCGGGUUGUAAACCGCUUUCGCCUGUGACGAAGCGUGAGUGACGGUAAUGGGUAAAGAAGCACCGGCUAACUACGUG
rnacentral:rRNA from 1 species